GAUGAACGCUAGCGAUAGGCUUAACACAUGCAAGUCGAGGGGCAGCAUAAAUGUAGCAAUACAUUGGUGGCGACAGGCGCCAGGGUGAGUAACGCGUAUGCAACCUACCAAUAACAAGGGGAUAACACGGCGAAAGCCGUGCUAAUACCGAAUAACACCGGGGUCCCGCAUGGGAAUAUUUGUUAAUGAUUGAUAGGUUAUGCAUGGGCAUGCGUUCCAUUAGGUAGUUGGUAAGGUAAUGGCUUACCAAGCCAUCGAUGGAUAGGGGUUCUGAGAGGAAGGUCCCCCACACUGGUACUGAGACACGGACCAGACUCCUACGGGAGGCAGCAGUGAGGAAUAUUGGUCAAUGGGCGAGAGCCUGAACCAGCCAAAUCGCGUGAAGGAUGACGGUAUUAUGUAUUGUAAACUUCUUUUAUUAUGGAAUAAAGUGCAGGACGUGUCCUGUUUUGUAUGUACCUAACGAAUAAGCAUCGGCUAACUCCGUGCCAGCCGCCGCAGUAA
rnacentral:rRNA from 1 species